rnacentral:rRNA from 1 species
UACGUAGGGGGCUAGCGUUGUCCGGAAUCAUUGGGCGUAAAGAGCGUGUAGGCGGUCCGGUAAGUCCGCUGUGAAAGUCGGGGGCUCAACCCUCGAAUGCCGGUGGAUACUGUCGGGCUAGAGUGCGGAAGAGGCGAGUGGAAUUCCUGGUGUAGCGGUGAAAUGCGUAGAUAUCUGGAGGAACACCGGUGGCGAAGGCGGCAUCCUGGACCGAUACUGACGCUGAGGAGCGAAAGCUAGGGGAGCAAACGGG